rnacentral:rRNA from 1 species
GACGAACGCUGGCGGCGUGCUUAACACAUGCAAGUCGAACGGAGUGGCGAACGGGUGAGUAACACGUGGGUGAUCUGCCUUGCACUCUGGGAUACGCUUGGGAAACUGGGUCUAAUACCGGAUAGUGCAAGAUGAGCUCGCGGCCUAUCAGCUUGUUGGUGGGGUAAUGGCCUACCAAGACGUCGACGGGUAGACGGCCUGAGAGAGUGUACGGCUACAUUGGGACUGAGGUAAGGCCCAGACUCCUAAGGGAGGCAGGAGUGGGGAAUACUGCACAAUGGGCGGAAGCCGGAUGCAGCGACGCCGCGUGGGGGAUGACAGCCUUAGGGUUGAAAACUCCUUUCGACAGGGACGCGGUACCUGUAUAAGAAGCACCGGCUAACUACGUGCCAGCAGCCGCGGUAAUAC